GGGGGGGCUCCAUCUUUCAGAGAUCACCUCACAUAGCUCCCCUCUGCACACCCUCUUUUUCUUAUGGUCAUUGCAAACAGUAUUUCCACGUUUCCAAAGCUUUUCCACAACUUGCUUCUAUCUCUUGCUUCCCAGAUCUAGUCAUUGUGUUAGAGUGGGACUUCACGGUCCCUGAGGAAUCCCCAAGCAAGUAUGAAAGAAGCAGGAUUUCGGUGGAAACAGCCCUCCAG